UACGAAGGGUGCAAGCGUUAAUCGGAAUUACUGGGCGUAAAGGGUGCGUAGGCGGUUGUUUAAGUCUGUCGUGAAAUCCCCGGGCUCAACCUGGGAAUGGCGAUGGAUACUGGGCAGCUAGAGUGUGUCAGAGGAUGGUGGAAUUCCCGGUGUAGCGGUGGAAUGCGUAGAGAUCGGGAAGAACAUCAGUGGCGAAGGCGGCCUGCUGGGCUGUUGCUGACGCUGAGGCGCGACAGCGUGGGGAGCAAACAGG
rnacentral:rRNA from 1 species